AUUGAACGCUGGCGGCAGGCUUAACACAUGCAAGUCGAGCGGGGUGAUGGUGCUUGCACUAUCACUUAGCGGCGGACGGGUGAGUAAUGCUUAGGAAUCUGCCUAUUAGUGGGGGACAACAUCUCGAAAGGGAUGCUAAUACCGCAUACGUCCUACGGGAGAAAGCAGGGGAUCACUUGUGACCUUGCGCUAAUAGAUGAGCCUAAGUCGGAUUAACUAGUUGGUGGGGUAAAAGCCUACCAAGGGGACGAUCCGUAGCGGGUCUGAGAGGAUGGUCCGCCACACUGGGACUGAGACACGGCCCAGACUCCUACGGGAGGCAGCAGUGGGGAAUUUUGGACAAUGGGGGGAACCCUGAUCCAGCCAUGCCGCGUGUGUGAAGAAGGCCUUAUGGUUGUAAAGCACUUUAAGCGAGGAGGAGGCUCUUUUGGUUAAUACCCAGAAUGAGUGGACGUUACUCGCAGAAUAAGCACCGGCUAACUCUGUGCCAGCCGCCGCCGUAAUAC
rnacentral:rRNA from 1 species